CGGUGCCCCGGCCUGCGGAGAGCGGGCGGGACGGGCCCCUUGUCCUCUGGCGUAACCGCGGAGCUCCUCGCUCGUCCCUCCCGCCCAGUGAGGGGCUUCCGUGCGCGUCUCUUCACUGAGCAGCAACGGCACGUUUAGCGGACGGGAGGCUGUGGUGCCCCCUCCCCGGGAGCGUUCAAGGCCGGCCUGGGCAGAACUUCAAGCCGCCUGGUCGGGGGGGCGGUGUCCGUGUCCACGCGGUUGGAACGCGGUGAUCUGCAAGGUCCCUUCCGACCCAAACCGUUCUGUGAUCCCAUUAUCCAGCUAGAGGCAAACCCUAUAAAACAGGAAGGCUGGAGGAAAAAAUGCCUGGUUGGGAUGAAAUCAUCACCUCGAAGUGGGAACUACAAUUUCUUCCUGAGUGCUACCGUGGAGCAAAGUGCUUUUCUGUGUAGAGCUGUCACCAGUAUUGUUUUGUGGUACAUUCAGUUUAUCUGGGCAAAAUAUAACUUAUAAACUUCAAUAUUUUAAUUGGGUUUAAAAUUAGUAACAUUGAGCAAAAACUUUGGCAAUUAAAACGGUAAGUUUGUGCUUAAACCAUUAGGACAUUCCUGUAAUACAUCCCUGGAGAUACUUAAAAGAUGUGUUGAUGUGGCGCUUGGAGACACGGUUUAGUGGUGGACUCUGCAGUGCUAGGUUAAUGGUUGGACUCAAUGAUCUUAAAGGUCUUUUCCAACCAGAAUAAUUAUUGGAUUCCGUGAAGUUCACUGUGAAGUGCAAAGCAAGGAAACGGAUCUGAAGCAUAAUUGUAAGAUGAUGGAUUGAACUCCUGCUGCAUAGGACCACACAAUUUUUAGAUCUCCUUUACAAUUCUGAUGAAUUGUAAAUAAUUUUCAGAUUUUUAUAUCAAUACUUGGAAAUAUACUUUUCCCUUACCUCCACCUGCUUUUUCCAGCCUGUUAGAAUAAAACAGAUCACAGAGCAGCUGGUGAAAAAAAAAAAAAAAGUUUCAUCCAAAAAGAACGUGCAGAAUGGUUGGCUUUUAGCUAGGAAAAUAGGUUAGCACUGGAAAUUGCUAGGGUGGACCUACAAAUGUUUCUGUAUAGUACCAGCAAAUUCAGAAUAAAGAAAAUCUGGGUUAGAUUUGACUCUACUAAUGUAUAUAUGUGUUCUGUAUCAAUUUGUUAAAUAUAUAUCUUUGUCAUGUAUGUAUAUAUGAAUAUGCUGCCGUUUAAUACAUAUUCUUUAAAAUGCUGUAUUUUUACAAAUAAUAAAUACUAGUUUAUGCCUUCUG